GAUGAACGCUGGCGGCGUGCCUAACACAUGCAAGUCGAGCGAUCUUCUUCGGAAGAGAGCGGCGGACGGGUGAGUAACGCGUGGGUAACCUGCCUCAUACACAUGGAUAACAUACCGAAAGGUAUGCUAAUACAAGAUGAUAUAAGAGAUUCGCAUGGAUUUCUUAUCAAAGCCCCGGUGGUAUGAGAUGGACCCGCGUCUGAUUAGCUAGUUGGUAAGGUAACGGCUUACCAAGGCGACGAUCAGUAGCCGACCUGAGAGGGUGAUCGGCCACAUUGGAACUGAGACACGGUCCAAACUCCUACGGGAGGCAGCAGUGGGGAAUAUUGCACAAUGGGCGAAAGCCUGAUGCAGCAACGCCGCGUGAGCGAUGAAGGCCUUCGGGUCGUAAAGCUCUGUCCUCAAGGAAGAUAAUGACGGUACUUGAGGAGGAAGCCCCGGCUAACUACGUGCCAGCCGCCGCCGUAAAAC
rnacentral:rRNA from 1 species